CCGACUUUAGCUCAGUUGGAAGAGCAUCAGACUGUAAUGGCUUACAUAAUCAUAAUCUGGGUGUCGCCUGUUCGAACCAGGCAAGUCGGA